rnacentral:rRNA from 1 species
UACGUAGGGCGCAAGCGUUGUCCGGAAUUAUUGGGCGUAAAGAGCUCGUAGGCGGCUUGUCACGUCGGGUGUGAAAGCCCGGGGCUUAACCCCGGGUCUGCAUUCGAUACGGGCUAGCUAGAGUGUGGUAGGGGAGAUCGGAAUUCCUGGUGUAGCGGUGAAAUGCGCAGAUAUCAGGAGGAACACCGGUGGCGAAGGCGGAUCUCUGGGCCAUACUGACGCUGAGGAGCGAAAGCGUGGGGAGCGAACAGG